rnacentral:rRNA from 1 species
GGUAGCUUGCUACUUGCUGACGACCGGCGCACGGGUGCGUAACGCGUAUACAAUCUGCCUUAUACAGAGGGAUAGCCUUUAGAAAUGAAGAUUAAUACCUCAUGGUCUAUUAAUAUAGCAUUAUAUAAAUAGUAAAGCUUCGGCGGUAUAAGAUGAGUAUGCGUCCUAUUAGUUAGUUGGUAAGGUAACGGCUUACCAAGACAACGAUAGGUAGGGGCCCUGAGAGGGGGACCCCCCACACUGGUACUGAGACACGGACCAGACUCCUACGGGAGGCAGCAGUGAGGAAUAUUGGACAAUGGAGGUAACUCUGAUCCAGCCAUGCCGCGUGCAGGAAGACGGCCCUAUGGGUUGUAAACUGCUUUUAUAUAGGAAGAAACCUUUUCACGUGUGAGAAGCUGACGGUACUAUAAGAAUAAGGACCGGCUAACUCCGUGCCAGCAGCCGCGGUAAUACGGAGGGUCCGAGCGUUAUCCGGAAUCAUUGGGUUUAAAGGUCCGUA